rnacentral:rRNA from 1 species
UUACGGUCAAAUCACGCUGAAAACACCGGUUCUCGUUCGAUCACCGAAGUUAAGCAUCGUAGAGCCAGGUCAAAUGGGGACCGCUUGGGAAACCUGGUACUGUAAG